rnacentral:rRNA from 1 species
GCUUUANAAGCUCGUAGUUCGANACUUGGGCCUGGCUGGCGGGUCCGCCUCACCCGCGUCACUCCGUGCGUCCGGCCGGGCCUUCCUUCUGAAGAACCUCAUGCCCUUCACUGGGCGUGCUGGGGAAUCAGGACUUUUACUUUGAAAAAAUUAGAGUGUUCAAAGCAGGCCUUUGCUCGAAUACGUUAGCAUGGAAUAAUAAAAUAGGGCGUGCGUUUCUAUUUUGUUGGUUUCUAGAGACGCCGCAAUGAUUAACAGGAACAGUCGGGGGCAUCAGUAUUCAGUUGUCAGAGGUGAAAUUCUUGGAUUUACUGAAGACUAACUACUGCGAAAGCAUUUGCCAAGGAUGUUUUCAUUAAUCAGUGAACGAAAGUUAGGGGAUCGAAAACGAUCAGAUACCGUCGUAGUCUUAACCGUAAACUAUGCCGACUAGGGAUCGGGCGAUGUUCUUUUUCUGACUCGCUCGGCACCUUACGAGAAAUCAAAGUUUUUGGGUUCUGGGGGGAUUAUGGUCGCAAGGCUGAAACUUAAAGAAAUUGACGGAAGGUCACCACCAGGCGCGGAGCCUGCGGCUUAAUUUGACUCAACACGGGGAAACUCACCAGGUCCAGAUGAAAUAAGGAUUGACA